AUUGAACGCUGGCGGCAGGCCUAACACAUGCAAGUCGAACGGUAACAGGAAACAGCUUGCUGUUUCGCUGACGAGUGGCGGACGGGUGAGUAAUGUCUGGGAAACUGCCUGAUGGAGGGGGAUAACUACUGGAAACGGUAGCUAAUACCGCAUAACGUCGCAAGACCAAAGAGGGGGACCUUCGGGCCUCUUGCCAUCGGCUGUGCCCAGGUGGGAUUAGCUAGUAGGUGGGGUAACGGCUCACCGAGGCGACGAUCCCUAGCGGGUCUGAGAGGAUGACCAGCCACACUGGAACUGAGACACGGUCCAGACUCCUACGGGAGGCAGCAGUGGGGAAUAUUGCACAAUGGGCGCAAGCCUGAUGCAGCAAUGCCGCGUGUAUGAAGAAGGCCUUCGGGUUGUAAAGUACUUUCAGCGGGGAGGAAGGGAGUAAAGUUAAUACCUUUACUCAUUGACGUUACCCGAAGAAGAAGCACCGGCUAACUCCGUG
rnacentral:rRNA from 1 species